AUUGAACGCUGGCGGCAGGCCUAACACAUGCAAGUCGAGCGGAUGAAGGGAGCUUGCUCCUGGAUUCAGCGGCGGACGGGUGAGUAAUGCCUAGGAAUCUGCCUGGUAGUGGGGGAUAACGUCCGGAAACGGGCGCUAAUACCGCAUACGUCCUGAGGGAGAAAGUGGGGGAUCUUCGGACCUCACGCUAUCAGAUGAGCCUAGGUCGGAUUAGCUAGUUGGUGGGGUAAAGGCCUACCAAGGCGACGAUCCGUAACUGGUCUGAGAGGAUGAUCAGUCACAAUGGAACUGAGACACGGUCCAGACUCCUACGGGAGGCAGCAGUGGGGAAUAUUGGACAAUGGGCGAAAGCCUGAUCCAGCCAUGCCGCGUGUGUGAAGAAGGUCUUCGGAUUGUAAAGCACUUUAAGUUGGGAGGAAGGGCAGUAAGUUAAUACCUUGCUGUUUUGACGUUACCAACAGAAUAAGCACCGGCUAACUACGUG
rnacentral:rRNA from 1 species